rnacentral:rRNA from 1 species
AACGAACGCUGGCGGCAUGCCUAACACAUGCAAGUCGAACGAAGCCUUCGGGCUUAGUGGCGCACGGGUGCGUAACACGUGGGAAUCUGCCCUUCGGUUCGGAAUAACAGUUAGAAAUGACUGCUAAUACCGGAUGAUGACGAAAGUCCAAAGAUUUAUCGCCGAAGGAUGAGCCCGCGUAGGAUUAGGUAGUUGGUAGGGUAAUGGCCUACCAAGCCGACGAUCCUUAGCUGGUCUGAGAGGAUGAUCAGCCACACUGGGAUUGAGACACGGCCCAGACUCCUACGGGAGGCAGCAGUGGGGAAUAUUGGACAAUGGGCGAAAGCCUGAUCCAGCAAUGCCGCGUGAGUGAUGAAGGCCUUAGGGUGUAAAGCUCUUUUACCAGGGAUGAUAAUGACAGUACCUGGAGAAUAAGCUCCGGCUAACUCCGUGCCAGCAGCCGCGGUAAU